rnacentral:rRNA from 1 species
GUAGGGAAUUUUCCACAAUGGGGGCAACCCUGAUGGAGCAACGCCGCGUGCAGGAUGAAUGCCUUCGGGUUGUAAACUGCUUUUAUAUGUGAAGAAUAUGACGGUAGCAUAUGAAUAAGGAUCGGCUAACUCCGUGCCAGCAGCCGCGGUCAUACGGAGGAUCCAAGCGUUAUCCGGAAUCACUGGGCGUAAAGAGUUGCGUAGGUGGCAGAGUAAGCAAAUAGUGAAAGCGUGAGGCUCAACCUCAUAAACAUUAUUUGAACUGCUCAGCUUGAGUAUGGGAGAGGUAGAUGGAAUUUCUAGUGUAGGAGUGAAAUCCGUAGAUAUUAGAAGGAACACCGAUGGCGUAGGCAGUCUACUGGCCCAUUACUGACACUAAGGCACGAAAGCGUGGGGAGCGAACGGGAUUAGAAACCCGUGUAGUCC